AGGGGACCCCGAGUGCGAGGGCAUAUAGUCCUCGCUUUUCUGGACUGUAGGGAGGUCCAAGAAUAAGGGCUGGGCAAGACCGGUGCCAGCCGCCGCGGUAAUACCGGCAGCCCGAGUGAUGGCCGAUUUUAUUGGGCCUAAAGCGUCCGUAGCCGGCCAGACGGGUCCGUCGGGAAAUCUGCACGCCCAACGUGCAGGCGUCCGGCGGAAACCAGCUGGCUUGGGGCCGGAAGAGCCAGGGGGUACGUCCGGGGUAGGAGUGAAAUCCCGUAAUCCUGGACGGACCGCCGAUGGCGAAAGCACCUCGGGAGGACGGAUCCGACGGUGAGGGACGAAAGCUAGGGUCUCGAACCGGAUUAGAUACCCGGGUAGUCCUAGCCGUAAACGAUGCCCGCUAGGUGUGGCGCAGGCUACGAGCCUGCGCUGUGCCGUAGGGAAGCCGAGAAGCGGGCCGCCUGGGAAGUACGUCCGCAAGGAUGAAACUUAAAGGAAUUGGCGGG
rnacentral:rRNA from 1 species